AGUGAACGCUGGCGGCAGGCCUAAUACAUGCAAGUCGAACGGCAGCACAGCAGAGCUUGCUCUGUGGGUGGCGAGUGGCGGACGGGUGAGGAAUACGUGGGAAUCUGCCCAGUCGUGGGGGAUAACGGAGGGAAACUUACGCUAAUACCGCAUGCGCCCUUUGGGGGAAAGCCGGGGAUCUUCGGACCUGGCGCGAUUGGAUGAGCCCACGUCGGAUUAGCUAGUUGGAGGGGUAAAGGCCCACCAAGGCGACGAUCCGUAGCUGGUCUGAGAGGAUGAUCCGCCACACUGGGACUGAGACACGGCCCGGACUCCUACGGGAGGCAGCAGUGGGGAAUUUUGGACAAUGGGCGAAAGCCUGAUCCAGCCAUGCCGCGUGUCUGAAGAAGGCCUUCGGGUUGUAAAGGACUUUUGUCGGGGAGGAAAUCCCCAGCGUUAAUACCGCUGGGGGAUGACAGUACCUGAAGAAUAAGCACCGGCUAACUACGUGCCAGCAGCCGCCGUAA
rnacentral:rRNA from 1 species